rnacentral:lncRNA from 1 species
AUGGGAUCUGUUGUUGUGAAUUACUGAUCACCUUGACUGUGACACCCGGACGUGGUGGGCAGGUCUAAAGCUCAGCCCCAACUUCAUGCCAUCUUUUAACAUCCUCUUUCUUUUAUGCUUAAUGCUUUGUGGUACACUCUUCUCCCGCUGUCACCUUCCAGGACAUGUGGUGUUCAAAGGAGUGACAGCAAAUUUUGGAUUAGAAAAAUAAUUUAGGUAGGCUUUUAAUAUGAAAUUUCAUAAUUCAUUCUGCCUCAUUAAAAAAAUAAGACAGAUUUUUCAAGAGACAUGAAGAUCUGGUAGGAUACUGUUGCUAUUUCUAUCUUUUUUUAAAAAUGAUUAUAAAUUUAAAUAGGCUAAAUUUUCUUUAUUAAACCUGUAUGAAGUUGACAUUAUUUUUAAAACAAUGUUUCAAAGUAUUUAUUUAUUAAGUAUUCUAAAGUCAAUAAUUUCAUACUAAUUUUAAAAAGUAUUCAACUGAUACAAAAUAGUUUAUUCCUUUCCAGGCGUCUUUAUUGGUAGAGAGGGGGGAAAAAACCCCAUACUUUCUCAAUAAAUCUUAAAUGUUAUUAAUUAUAAAUAACCUUUAGUUCAGUCUCAUAAUUUGUGGCCAGGAAUAUAGAAGUAAACAACUUCUAUAUUUUGUAUACAAGAAGAAAAGAACAAAAACCAAAUAAACAAGCAAAAAUCUUAAAUCUCCAUAACCUUAAUUAAUCAAAUAGAGUUGAAAAUGCUAUCUAUGCUAAAUAUGAGUCUGUUCUAAUCACUUCUAGAAACUGGGCUCUAAGAUAUGCAAAGUAUAUGCAAAGUAUAUAAGAGGAGUACAUUUCCUGUAGCAUAUAAAUUCUUCCCACUUAACUAAUAUUGUUAUAGUUUCUCUUUUUUUUUUUUUGGAGACAAAGUCUCACUCUGUCACACAGGCUAUAGAGCAAUGGCCUGAUCAUGGCUCAGAGUAGCUUCAAUAUCCCAGGCUCAGGUGAUCCUCCAGCCUCAGCCUCCCAAGUAGUUGGAACUACAGCUACUUGGCAGGCCAAGGCAGGAGAAUGGCAUGAACCCGGGAGGCGAAGCUCGCAGUGAGCCGAGAGAGUGCCAUGCACUCCAGCCUGGGUGACAGAGGGAGACUCCGUCUAAAAAAAAAAAAAAAAAAAAAAAA